GGUUAUGGUUAGGGUUAGGGUUGGAGCUAGGGUUAGGGUUAGGGUUAGGGUUGGAGUUAGGGUUAGUGUUGGAGCUAGGGUUAGGGUUGGGCUUGGAGCUAGGAUUUUUCUGAGUGCACUGAACCAACUCCCGAGUCUCUAGGACGUUCCUAAAAAAAAUUUGAUUUUUUCCCAUAGGAAUGCAUGGGUUAGGGUUAGGGUUAGGGUUGGAGCUAGGGUUAGGGUUAGGGUUAGGGUUGGAGUUAGGGUUAGUGUUGGAGCUAGGGUUAGGGUUGGGCUUGGAGCUAGGAUUUUUCUGAGUGCACUGAACCAACUCCCGAGUCUCUAGGACAUUCCUAAAAAAAUUUGAUUUUUUCCCAUAGGAAUGCAUGGGUUAGGGUUAGGGUUAGGGUUGGAGCUAGGGUUAGGGUUAGGGUUAGGGUUGGAGUUAGGGUUAGUGUUGGAGCUAGGGUUAGGGUUGGGCUUGGAGCUAGGAUUUUUCUGAGUGCACUGAACCAACUCCCGAGUCUCUAGGACAUUCCUAAAAAAAUUUGAUUUUUUCCCAUAGGAAUGCAUGGGUUAGGGUUAUGGUUAGGGUUAGGGUUGGAGCUAGGGUUAGGGUUAGGGUUAGGGUUGGAGUUAGGGUUAGUGUUGGAGCUAGGGUUAGGGUUGGGCUUGGAGCUAGGACUUUUCUGAGUGCAAUGAACCAACUCCCGAGUCUCUAGGACGUUCCUAAAAAAAUUUGAUUUUUUCCCAUAGGAAUGCAUGGGUUAGGGUUAGGGUUAGGGUUGGAGCUAGGGUUAGGGUUAGGGUUAGGGUUGGAGUUAGGGUUAGUGUUGGAGCUAGGGUUAGGGUUGGGCUUGGAGCUAGGAUUUUUCUGAGUGCACUGAACCAACUCCCGAGUCUCUAGGACGUUCCUAAAAAAAUUUGAUUUUUUCCCAUAGGAAUGCAUGGGUUAGGGUUAGGGUUAGGGUUGGAGCUAGGGUUAGGGUUAGGGUUAGGGUUGGAGUUAGGGUUAGUGUUGGAGCUAGGGUUAGGGUUGGGCUUGGAGCUAGGAUUUUUCUGAGUGCACUGAACCAACUCCCGAGUCUCUAGGACAUUCCUAAAAAAAUUUGAUUUUUUCCCAUAGGAAUGCAUGGGUUAGGGUUAGGGUUAGGGUUGGAGCUAGGGUUAGGGUUAGGGUUAGGGUUGGAGUUAGGGUUAGUGUUGGAGCUAGGGUUAGGGUUGGGCUUGGAGCUAGGAUUUUUCUGAGUGCACUGAACCAACUCCCGAGUCUCUAGGACAUUCCUAAAAAAAUUUGAUUUUUUCCCAUAGGAAUGCAUGGGUUAGGGUUAUGGUUAGGGUUAGGGUUGGAGCUAGGGUUAGGGUUAGGGUUAGGGUUGGAGUUAGGGUUAGUGUUGGAGCUAGGGUUAGGGUUGGGCUUGGAGCUAGGAUUUUUCUGAGUGCAAUGAACCAACUCCCGAGUCUCUAGGACGUUCCUAAAAAAAUUUGAUUUUUUUCCCAUAGGAAUGCAUGGGUUAGGGUUAGGGUUAGGGUUGGAGCUAGGGUUAGGGUUAGGGUUAGGGUUGGAGUUAGGGUUAGUGUUGGAGCUAGGGUUAGGGUUGGGCUUGGAGCUAGGAUUUUUCUGAGUGCACUGAACCAACUCCCGAGUCUCUAGGACAUUCCUAAAAAAAUUUGAUUUUUUCCCAUAGGAAUGCAUGGGUUAGGGUUAGGGUUAGGGUUGGAGCUAGGGUUAGGGUUAGGGUUAGGGUUGGAGUUAGGGUUAGUGUUGGAGCUAGGGUUAGGGUUGGGCUUGGAGCUAGGAUUUUUCUGAGUGCACUGAACCAACUCCCGAGUCUCUAGGACAUUCCUAAAAAAAUUUGAUUUUUUUCCCAUAGGAAUGCAUGGGUUAGGGUUAGGGUUAGGGUUAGGGUUGGAGCUAGGGUUAGGGUUAGGGUUGGAGUUAGGGUUAGUGUUGGAGCUAGGGUUAGGGUUGGGCUUGGAGCUAGGAUUUUUCUGAGUGCAAUGAACCAACUCCCGAGUCUCUAGGACGUUCCUAAAAAAAUUUGAUUUUUUCCCAUAGGAAUGCAUGGGUUAGGGUUAGGGUUAGGGUUGGAGCUAGGGUUAGGGUUAGGGUUAGGGUUGGAGUUAGGGUUAGUGUUGGAGCUAGGGUUAGGGUUGGGCUUGGAGCUAGGAUUUUUCUGAGUGCACUGAACCAACUCCCGAGUCUCUAGGACGUUCCUAAAAAAAUUUGAUUUUUUCCCAUAGGAAUGCAUGGGUUAGGGUUAGGGUUAGGGUUGGAGCUAGGGUUAGGGUUAGGGUUAGGGUUGGAGUUAGGGUUAGUGUUGGAGCUAGGGUUAGGGUUGGGCUUGGAGCUAGGAUUUUUCUGAGUGCACUGAACCAACUCCCGAGUCUCUAGGACAUUCCUAAAAAAAUUUGAUUUUUUUCCCAUAGGAAUGCAUGGGUUAGGGUUAGGGUUAGGGUUGGAGCUAGGGUUAGGGUUAGGGUUAGGGUUGGAGUUAGGGUUAGUGUUGGAGCUAGGGUUAGGGUUGGGCUUGGAGCUAGGAUUUUUCUGAGUGCACUGAACCAACUCCCGAGUCUCUAGGACAUUCCUAAAAAAAUUUGAUUUUUUCCCAUAGGAAUGCAUGGGUUAGGGUUAUGGUUAGGGUUAGGGUUGGAGCUAGGGUUAGGGUUAGGGUUAGGGUUGGAGUUAGGGUUAGUGUUGGAGCUAGGGUUAGGGUUGGGCUUGGAGCUAGGACUUUUCUGAGUGCAAUGAACCAACUCCCGAGUCUCUAGGACGUUCCUAAAAAAAUUUGAUUUUUUUCCCAUAGGAAUGCAUGGGUUAGGGUUAGGGUUAGGGUUGGAGCUAGGGUUAGGGUUAGGGUUAGGGUUGGAGUUAGGGUUAGUGUUGGAGCUAGGGUUAGGGUUGGGCUUGGAGCUAGGAUUUUUCUGAGUGCAAUGAACCAACUCCCGAGUCUCUAGGACGUUCCUAAAAAAAUUUGAUUUUUUCCCAUAGGAAUGCAUGGGUUAGGGUUAUGGUUAGGGUUGGAGCUAGGGUUAGGGUUAGGGUUAGGGUUGGAGUUAGGGUUAGUGUUGGAGCUAGGGUUAGGGUUGGGCUUGGAGCUAGGAUUUUUCUGAGUGCAAUGAACCAACUCCCGAGUCUCUAGGACGUUCCUAAAAAAAUUUGAUUUUUUCCCAUAGGAAUGCAUGGGUUAGGGUUAGGGUUAGGGUUGGAGCUAGGGUUAGGGUUAGGGUUAGGGUUGGAGUUAGGGUUAGUGUUGGAGCUAGGGUUAGGGUUGGGCUUGGAGCUAGGAUUUUUCUGAGUGCACUGAACCAACUCCCGAGUCUCUAGGACAUUCCUAAAAAAAUUUGAUUUUUUUCCCAUAGGAAUGCAUGGGUUAGGGUUAUGGUUAGGGUUAGGGUUGGAGCUAGGGUUAGGGUUAGGGUUAGGGUUAGGGUUAGGGUUGGAGUUAGGGUUAGUGUUGGAGCUAGGGUUAGGGUUGGGCUUGGAGCUAGGAUUUUUCUGAGUGCACUGAACCAACUCCCGAGUCUCUAGGACAUUCCUAAAAAAAUUUGAUUUUUUUCCCAUAGGAAUGCAUGGGUUAGGGUUAUGGUUAGGGUUAGGGUUGGAGCUAGGUUUAGGGUUAGGGUUAGGGUUGGAGUUAGGGUUAGUGUUGGAGCUAGGGUUAGGGUUGGGCUUGGAGCUAGGAUUUUUCUGAGUGCAAUGAACCAACUCCCGAGUCUCUAGGACGUUCCUAAAAAAAUUUGAUUUUUUUCCCAUAGGAAUGCAUGGGUUAGGGUUAGGGUUAGGGUUGGAGCUAGGGUUAGGGUUAGGGUUAGGGUUGGAGUUAGGGUUAGUGUUGGAGCUAGGGUUAGGGUUGGGCUUGGAGCUAGGAUUUUUCUGAGUGCACUGAACCAACUCCCGAGUCUCUAGGACAUUCCUAAAAAAAUUUGAUUUUUUCCCAUAGGAAUGCAUGGGUUAGGGUUAGGGUUAGGGUUGGAGCUAGGGUUAGGGUUAGGGUUAGGGUUGGAGUUAGGGUUAGUGUUGGAGCUAGGGUUAGGGUUGGGCUUGGAGCUAGGAUUUUUCUGAGUGCACUGAACCAACUCCCGAGUCUCUAGGACAUUCCUAAAAAAAUUUGAUUUUUUUCCCAUAGGAAUGCAUGGGUUAGGGUUAGGGUUAGGGUUGGGGUAGGGUUAGGGUUAGGGUUAGGGUUGGAGUUAGGGUUAGUGUUGGAGCUAGGGUUAGGGUUGGGCUUGGAGCUAGGAUUUUUCUGAGUGCAAUGAACCAACUCCCGAGUCUCUUGGACGUUCCUAAAAAAAUUUGAUUUUUUCCCAUAGGAAUGCAUGGGUUAGGGUUAGGGUUAGGGUUGGAGCUAGGGUUAGGGUUAGGGUUAGGGUUGGAGUUAGGGUUAGUGUUGGAGCUAGGG